GCAGUAUAAUGAUGAAUGGGAGUCUGUUGUUGUAAACAUCCCCGACUGGAAGCUGUAAGAGAAAUUCUAGCUUUCAGUCAGAUGUUUGCUGCCACUGGCUACUCUCAACUACGUCGGAAAGA
rnacentral:pre_miRNA from 14 species